rnacentral:rRNA from 1 species
CUGGCUCAGGAUGAACGCUAGCGGCGCGCUUAAUGCAUGCAAGUCGAGCGAUGAGGCCCUCUUCGGGGGGUACAUCAGCGGCAGACGGGUGAGUAACACGUAGGUGAUCUACCCCAGAGACGGGGAUAACGGGUGGAAACAUCCGCUAAUACCGGAUAGGCUUGUUCGGUCAAAGGGACAAGGAAAGGCUCCGGCGCUCUGGGAGGAGCCUGCGGCCCAUCAGCUAGUUGGCGGGGUAACGGCCCACCAAGGCAGAGACGGGUAGGGGGUGUGAGAGCAUGGCCCCCCACAAUGGGACUGGAACACGGCCCAUACUCCUACGGGAGGCAGCAGCAGGGAAUAUUGCACAAUGGACGGAAGUCUGAUGCAGCGACGCCGCGUGGAUGAAGAAGGCCCUCGGGUUGUAAAAUCCUUUACAGGGGGAAGAGGAAGGACGGUACCCCUGGAACAAGUGUCGGCUAACUACGUGCCAGCAGCCGCGGUAAGACGUAGGACACAAGCGUUAUCCGGAUUUACUGGGCGUAAAGCGUCUGCAGGCGGACAGGUAAGUUGGGCGUGAAAGCUCCGGGCCCAACCCGGAGAGGUCGUUCAAUACUGCGUGUCUAGAGGGUGUCAGAGGGGAGUGGAAUUUCCGGAGUAGCGGUAAAAUGCGCAGAGAUCGGAAAGAACACCAAUGGCGAAGGCAGCUCCCUGGGGCAAACCCUGACGCUAAGAGACGAAAGCUAGGGGAGCGAACAGGAUUAGAGACCCUGGUAGUCCUAGCCCUAAACGAUGGAUGCUGGAUGUGGGGCCAUAGCGCUCCGUGUCGAAGCGAACGCGUUAA